rnacentral:lncRNA from 1 species
AAAAAAAAGACACAUGAUAAAAACAAUCCAGUCAGAAAAUAGAUAUAGAGACAUUUUGCUGAAGAGGAUAUAAAAAAUGGCAGAUAUGCACAUGAAAAAAUGUUCCACAGUAUUAGCCAUUAGGGAAAUAGAAGCUAAAACCACAUUGGGAUAUUACCACACACCUAUCAGAAUGACCAAAAUAAAAAGUAGUGACAAUACCAAAUCAUGAGGACUCAGAGAAACUGCAUCACUCAUAUUUUGGUGGAUGUGUGAAAUGGUAGAUUUGCUCUAGAAAAGAGUUUUGUACUUUCUUAAACUUCAGACUACCAUAUGACCCUGCAGUUGCCCUCCUGGGCAUUUAUCCCAGAAAAAAAUGAAGAGAUGUUCACUCAACCACCUGUACAUGACAGUUUAUAGCAGCUUUAUUUAAUAGCCCAAAACUAGAAACAAUCCAGAUGUCCUUCAGCAAGUAAAUCGUUAAACAAACUGGUGCAUCCAUACCACAGACUACCACUUGGCAAUAAAAAAGGGAUGAACUAUUGAUACAUACAAAUGGGAUGAAUCUCCAGAUAAUUAUGCCCAAAAAUGAAAGUCCCAAAAGGUUAUAUAUUGCUAUUUCCAUUUAUUUAAUAUUCUUGAAAUAAGGAAGUUACAGAACUGGAGAAUAGAUUCGUGGUUGCCGGGGGUAAAGAAGGGUGCAAUGGGAGGGAAGUGGGUGUAACUGUAAAAGGGAAACCUGAGUGUUCCUUGAGGUGAUGAAAAUGUUCUGUAUCUUUACUGGAUCCAUGUUAAUAUUCUGGUUGUGAUCCUGUAAUACAGUUUUGCAAGUUUUAGAAGGAAACUGGGUAAAGAAUACAUGGGAUCGCUCUUAUUUCUUACAACUGUAUAUGAAUCUAUUUCAAAAUUAAUGUUUACUCAGACUAUAAUGUAGAAGUGGGGCC